GCUGGUGGCAAAUAGGAUAGGGGGGGUGGUGUUUGAGAAGCAGCUGUUCCCCAGUUAGGGCCCCUGUGUCCCACACAUGGGUCCUAGCAAGUUGCCUUAUGAGGUGGGAAAGAGUUUCUACAUAAGGGCACUCUCUCAGGGCUGUUGAACUGAUACCUGCCUAGUGAUGUGCUGACUGUUCAACACAGCUGAAACCUGUACUGGAUUUGGGGAAUAAAUCUGAGAUGUUUUACAUUCUUGCAGUGACCAAGGAUUAACCUGAAGUAAGUCCUGUUCGGAUAUGACUCCUCACAAAGUUCCCCUCUUUGACAGGGAGAUAAUCUGUUUCGACCUGCUUUCUAUGAAGACAAAGUCUGACUAAAGCAAAUACCUGAGCCUGAACAAGAGCUGGCAGCAGGAGAGGAGAGAGGAGCCAGAGAGAUGGGAGCAACAUUACCUCACCCGAUGCUGUGCAGAGUAGGCAUGGGACUCAUCUGGAGAGCAUCGCUGCUUGUGGGCAAGAUUUUGGCUUUUCUUGCUGAAAACGACAUGCCUUUAGU